GUAGGUGGCAAGCGUUGUCCGGAAUUAUUGGGCGUAAAGCGCGCGCAGGCGGUCCUUUAAGUCUGAUGUGAAAGCCCACGGCUCAACCGUGGAGGGUCAUUGGAAACUGGGGGACUUGAGUACAGAAGAGGAAAGCGGAAUUCCAAGUGUAGCGGUGAAAUGCGUAGAGAUUUGGAGGAACACCAGUGGCGAAGGCGGCUUUCUGGUCUGUAACUGACGCUGAGGCGCGAAAGCGUGGGGAGCAAACAGGAUUAGAUACCCUGGUAGUCCACGCCGUAAACGAUGAGUGCUAAGUGUUAGGGGGUUUCCCGCCCCCCUUAGUGCUGCAGCUAACGCGUUAAGCACUCCGCCUGGGGGAGUACGGCCGCAAGGCUG
rnacentral:rRNA from 1 species